UGGGGAAUUUUGGACAAUGGGGGAAACCCUGAUCCAGCCAUCCCGCGUGUGCGAUGAAGGCCUUCGGGUUGUAAAGCACUUUUGGCAGGAAAGAAACGUCAUGGGUUAAUACCCCGUGAAACUGACGGUACCUGCAGAAUAAGCACCGGCUAACUACGUGCCAGCAGCCGCGGUAAUACGUAGGGUGCAAGCGUUAAUCGGAAUUACUGGGCGUAAAGCGUGCGCAGGCGGUUCGGAAAGAAAGAUGUGAAAUCCCAGAGCUCAACUUUGGAACUGCAUUUUUAACUACCGGGCUAGAGUGUGUCAGAGGGAGGUGGAAUUCCGCGUGGAGCAGUGAAAUGCGUAGAUAUGCGGAGGAACACCGAUGGCGAAGGCAGCCUCCUGGGAUAACAAUGACGCUCAUGCACGAAAGCGUGGGGAGCAAACAGG
rnacentral:rRNA from 1 species